CAUCUCACUCUCUAUAAAACUUUCUUUCUCCCAAAUACUUUAAUUUCUUACAUACAAAAUUAUUACAUUUACAUUAUCUCUCAAAAUUAACAAGUAUUCUUUACAAUAUUAAGAACUUCAAUUGCAAAAGGAAUUCCUUUAUGUAAACAUGGUGUUCAUGCUAAAUUACAAGUAGUCAAAAAUGGAGCAAGGGUUGGUGAGAGGUUUUACGGAUGUGCAUUUUGGCCAGCACAAGAUUGCAAAUUUUUUAAGUGGGAAAAAGAUGUAGAGUAUACAAGUGAAAUUUCUUCUUGUUUGGAAGAAGAGAAAGCUAUGUUGAUUGGCAAAAUAAGGAAAUUGAAGGCUAAGAAUGCGAAGUUGAAAGAAAGCGAAGCUAUGUUGAAAUUGAAAGUUGUUGAAUAUGUAAACGCACAUAAAGCGUUAAGUUUUGUACUUGUUGCAUCAUGGGUUUUAUUUGUAUUGUUCUUAUUUAUGUCAAGCUAAGUUUAAGAAUUUGGUCAUGUAAUGGAACUUUAUGUAUUGAAAAUCCAAUGUUUUUGAUAAUUUUCAAUAAUUACCUUUACAUACAUAAGCAUUUGUUACACACAAAAGAGCUAAAACCCUUACAUACAUAAUUUUCA